rnacentral:rRNA from 1 species
GGAAAGACCCCGUGAACCUUUACUGUAACCUAAUACUGGCUCUAGGUUCGUCAUGUGUAGCAUAGGUGGGAGACGUUGAUGUCGGAGGCGCCAGCCUUCGAAUAGUCACCGGUGAAAUACCACUCUUGGCGUAUUUGGAUUCUAACCCGUGACCGUAAUCCGGCACGGGGACAGUGUUAGGCGGGCAGUUUGACUGGGGCGG